CAGGGGAUAGUUUAGUAAGAAUGUCAGUUUUGGGUACUGAUGGCGGAGCUAUUGCUUCUUCCCUGA
rnacentral:tRNA from 1 species